rnacentral:rRNA from 1 species
UACAGAGGUCUCAAGCGUUGUUCGGAUUUACUGGGCGUAAAGGGCGCGUAGGCGGCCAGCACAAGUCAGUUGUGAAAUCUCCGAGCUUAACUCGGAAAGGUCAACUGAUACUGUGCGGCUAGAGUGCAGAAGGGGCAACUGGAAUUCUUGGUGUAGCGGUGAAAUGCGUAGAUAUCAAGAGGAACACCUGCGGCGAAGGCGGGUUGCUGGGCUGACACUGACGCUGAGGCGCGAAAGCUAGGGGAGCGAACGGG